GUUCUUGUAGUUAAGGUUUGUUUAACGGCAGCUUUUCGAGCUGUAGACCUUGGAGAAAAGCCAAGCAAGAAUG
rnacentral:tRNA from 3 species